GAGGACGAGGAGGACGAGGAUUUGUGCUCGGUAUAACCCAAGGUGGUUAGCGGUGGUCGUUAGAGGUAGUUGGCGGGGGUUGCCGGUGGUAGAGGAGGAAGACGAGGAGGAGGACGAGGAAGAGGAGGACGAGGAUUUGUGCUCGUGUUCGAUGUAUAACCCGAGGUGGUCAGUGGUGGUCGUUGGAGGUGGUUGGCGGUAGUUGGAGGUGGUCGGUGGUGGUUAGAGGUGGUUACGGGUGAUCGUGCGGGACGAGGAGGAAGACAAGGAGGAGAAGGACGAGGAUUUAUGCAUGGUAUGACCCGAGGUGGUCAGCGGUGGUCGCUGGAGGUGGUCAAAGGCGGUAAGAAGUGUUUGCGGCUGAUCGAGGGUGACGAGAAGGACGGAGCUCGUCAAAGGUGAUUGAAGGUAGCGCGAUGGUGGUGAGGUGUUGGGGUGGUGUGGUCAUGGGUUGUUGGGGUGUUGGGAUAGUGGAGUGAUGGGGUGG